rnacentral:tRNA from 1 species
GCCUCGUUAGCUCAGUUGGUAGAGCGUUAGACUUUUAAUCUAACGGUCAGGUGUUCGAGUCCCCUACGGGGCU